rnacentral:rRNA from 1 species
UUUUAUACGGGAAUAAAGUGAGCCACGUGUGGCUUUUUGUAUGUACCGUAUGAAUAAGGAUCGGCUAACUCCGUGCCAGCAGCCGCGGUAAUACGGAGGAUCCGAGCGUUAUCCGGAUUUAUUGGGUUUAAAGGGAGCGUAGGCGGGUUGUUAAGUCAGUUGUGAAAGUUUGCGGCUCAACCGUAAAAUUGCAGUUGAUACUGGCGACCUUGAGUGCAACAGAGGUAGGCGGAAUUCGUGGUGUAGCGGUGAAAUGCUUAGAUAUCACGAAGAACUCCGAUUGCGAAGGCAGCUUACUGGAUUGUAACUGACGCUGAUGCUCGAAAGUGUGGGUAUCAAACAGGAUUAGAUACCCUGGUAGUCCACACAGUAAACGAUGAAUACUCGCUGUUGGCGAUAUACAGUCAGCGGCCAAGCGAAAGCAUUAAGUAUUCCACCUGGGGAGUACGCCGGCAACGGUGCAACUCAAAGGAAUUGACGGA